GUUCAUUCUCUCAGCGGCGUGUGACGGAGUGCGUUGUACCAAUAAAGCUGUAACUAAAUUUAAAGAUCAAAUGGCAGUGACCGAUGAUUUCUGGCGGGAGCUGAACGAGCUUCAGCAAUCGCAGGUGGCGCUUUUCCCGCAGCUGGCUGCCCCUGCGCAACAACGAUGCUUAGAAGAAGACCAGCUGUGGGCGGCGCAGGCUGCGGAGAGGCUGGAGCUGCUGCUGCUGGGGGUCGUGAGGAG
rnacentral:lncRNA from 1 species